AGACAAUUUCAGUAUAAGUAGAGUGUUUAGCAAAUUGAAUUAUUUUUUCAGAGACUGUAGCCUGACUCUGGCGCUUAAAUCCAGGUCCCAACUAAAAAUUCAAAAGAAUACAUUUCAAGUUUUUUCCCGUGCAGGCCUGACCAGGCAGCCUUACUUUCGUCCAGCCAUCAAUUUAUUAAUUUCGAGUGAAAUUUUUUUAUAACCACCGGCUGGGCCCUAUCCUGGGCCCCGAAGGAGGGGCAUUAGCCUGUUGCAUAUAAUUAGAGGCGUCGAGGGGAAAUUGGUGCUCUGGGCCUGCACUCAGAUUUUUUCCGGCCCGCAGUCCUCGUGGUCGUUGGGCCUUGGGGCGUUCACGUUGCCUGUGACACAAAUUACCCCAAUCGGCGAAAGCUAAUCAAAGCAGAACAUGUCCCGGCAAAUUGCUCAGCGAGCAAUAAAUGAAGAAAAGGGAAUAGAAUCGCAUGCAAAUGCAAUCGGAAUCGAAAACAAAAUCGCUGGCAACUCGAAGAACAGGCAAAGUUCACGGGUAGGGCGAAAAUAUUGUCUAUUAAUUGAUUGUUUGUUCUACUGCACGGUGCGCAUUAUUAGAUACAAUUUAUUGUGCAGCUAUGUGGAAUGGCAGGCGCUGCCUUGGAUUAUUGUUUAUUUUAUGACACGUGCCACAGCUCCUCGCCCACUCCCAUCCACGGCCUCAAGCCCUCAAGCCCCAUGUUCUUCAAAGGAAGCUCACGCCAGGCCCCUGACACACGCUAAGGCCUAAGCCUUUUGCUAAUAAUGCCAAUAACUUGGACCCCACGGAGAGACAUCCCAAGUUUGACCAUCAGUCUAGUUACAAGCACAGAUAAUAAUUCAAGACUGGUUCGAACCAAAAGUUCCCUGUAAAAGACAUACCAAAGCCGUAGUAUCUUGCUCGAAAAAGGAUUGUAGAACUGAGCUUGAGCAUUGAGAUACCUGGAGCCUAAUAUAACACGGAUAUUUGUAUUUUACCCUUAUGACAGUACAUAACCACCACAUUAAAUGUGUACAACAAU